rnacentral:rRNA from 1 species
GUGGGGAAUCUUCCGCAAUGGACGAAAGUCUGACGGAGCAACGCCGCGUGAGUGAUGAAGGUCUUCGGAUUGUAAAGCUCUGUUAAUCGGGACGAAAGAGCCUAGUGUGAAUAAUGCUAGGAAGUGACGGUACCGGAAUAGAAAGCCACGGCUAACUACGUGCCAGCAGCCGCGGUAAUACGUAGGUGGCAAGCGUUGUCCGGAAUUAUUGGGCGUAAAGCGCGCGUAGGCGGAUCUGCCAGUCUGUCUUAAAAGUUCGGGGCUUAACCCCGUGAUGGGAUGGAAACUACAGAUCUAGAGUAUCGGAGAGGAAAGUGGAAUUCCUAGUGUAGCGGUGAAAUGCGUAGAUAUGAGGAAGAACACCAGUGGCGAAGGCGACUUUCUGGACGAAAACUGACGCUGAGGCGCGAAAGCCAGGGGAGCGAACGGGAUUAGAUACCCGGGUAGUCC